rnacentral:lncRNA from 1 species
UUUCUUCUCUUCUCCCUCUUCUUCCUCUCUUCUUUUCCCUCUUCUUCUCUUCUCCCUCUACUUCUCUUCUUCUUCUCCCCACGCCCCACCGCUUCUCUCUGUUUCUCGAAGAAACAGAGAGAGCGUGGGAGGCGGUGGGAUAAAACCGAAUUUUUGGUUUUCUUUAUUUUCUUCUUUUUACAACUUAACAGUUUAGUCCUUGAAAUUUCCAUAUUUACAUAUAGGUCCUCCGAUUUAUAAAUAAAUCUUUAUUAAUAAUUUACAAAAGUGAGGGAUAUUACAAUCGCUGCCUCCAAGCCCUCAGCAACAACGAUCCCUCUAUGCAGCGACCGCAACAAGCAUCGCUGCCUCCCACGCAGCGACCGCAGCUACAUCCCCGCAUCCUCACAGCAACCCUUCAUUCCCAUAGUGUUGCCAUCGACUGCGUC